UACGUAGGGGGCUAGCGUUGUCCGGAAUCAUUGGGCGUAAAGCGCGUGUAGGCGGUUCGGUAAGUCCGCUGUGAAAGUCGGGGGCUCAACCCUCGGAUGCCGGUGGAUACUGUCGGGCUUGAGUACGGAAGAGGCGAGUGGAAUUCCUGGUGUAGCGGUGAAAUGCGCAGAUAUCAGGAGGAACACCAAUUGCGAAGGCAGCCCCCUGGGCCAAUACUGACGCUCAGGCACGAAAGCGUGGGGAGCAAACAGG
rnacentral:rRNA from 1 species